GGCAACCGGCUAGGGUCCUCUUCCAGAUUGUGGAAGAUUUGUUCUUUUGCCUUUGGCAAUAAAUCCUGCUGCUGCUCACUCUUUGGGUCUGCACCGUCUUUGGCGGCUGCUGCUCACUCUUUGGGUCUGCGCUAUCUUUAUGAGCUGUAACACCGUGAAGGUCUGCACCUUCAUUCCUGAAGCCAGUUAGACCACAAACCCACCAGAAGGAAGAAACUCUGGACCCAUCUGAACAUCUGAAUGAACAAACUCUGGACACACCAUCUUUAGGAACUGUAACACUCACCGCAAGGGUCCGUGGCUUCAUUCUUGAAGUCAGUUAGACCAAGAACCCACCAAUUCCGGACACAAUACUAUUGGAUGUAUGUUUGUUUGGUGUUUUCUUUGAAGACAGAAUCAGAGAGGCUCAGCAAAUGCCAGAACUCAAAUUCAAGCGCAACUCUGCCUGAUGGAAACUCAGGUGAUUUCCACUCUGCCUCCACCUGCAUUCCUCAGCACCCUGCAGUUGGUCCCCAGACUCUAUGCUCCAUGCUGCUUGUGUUUGUUGGUUGGCUGGUUUCGUGUUCAUGUGUUCUGGCUUCUUCAUUUUGGGUCUUUACAUCUUUACAUCUCUAUAGCAGUUCUUCCCAUGUUGUGUAGCAGUUGUCUCUACGUGACAGUCUGUCUUGUGAGGUCGAGUUCCCUGAAGGCAGCAAGCAUGUAAUUGGUAAAUUCUCAUCAGUUAGCCAUGUCUGGAACAUGGUAGGUAUUCAAUAAAGGUUUUUGCUCAUUUAAUCGACUGUUCAUUAGCAUUUACUGAACCUCUACUGUGUGUCCAACACCGUAGCAGGCACUGAGGAUGGAGCGGUGGAGAAAAACAGGCAACACACUCUGCACUCCAUCUAGUGUGCAGAAAACAUGCAAAUAGUCAUAUACACCAAAACACUUCACACAACACAGACACUGCUGUAACAUGCAAAUAGUCACAUAAAACACUUCACACAGCAGACUGACACACUGCUGUAACAUGCAAAUAGUCAUAUACACACGAAAACACUUCACACAGCACACUGACACACUGCUGUAACAUGCAAGUAGUCAUAUACACAAAAACACUUCACACAGCACACCGACACACGGCUAUGUCAGAAAGGCGUGCAGUACUCUGUGAGUGUAGGAUGGUGUCGAGACUCAGGAAAGAGUUGUGCAGAAAAGGGUAUGUGAGUGAGGGGUCAAGGCCGAGCAUCUAGGUGGAAAGUCCCGGCAGAGGGAGCCGUGCAAGCAUCCCCUCAGGCAGCAGGGACGUGGCACGACUGGGGGACCGGUGGCCCGAGGGCAGAGGCAGAGCCGGGAGUGUGCGAGGUGAGCAUGGAGAGGAAGCCACUGCACCCCAGAAAAAGGCACUCCUCCCACGAACAGGAGAGUCCACAGAGAUUUCUGCAAAGGGAGAAGCCAUGAGUGCUCGUUCAGUGCCUACAGUGUUUGGGGCAGCUGUGCAUUUUCUUCACAAAUUCAUUCUUUAAGAAACACUGCUCCAUGCGUUAUACGAGACAGAAAAUCCCGGUUAAUACUAACAGAUCCUUAGCUCGGGAUUGUCCGGAGCAGGCACGCUGUCGGCAGGGGCUGCUCUGGGGUCUGUGGUGUCAGGGGCUCCCCAGAAGCUGCAGCGCAGAAAUGGGGGAGGCUGAGAGCGACUCAGGCCUCUCUGCAAAUGAAGCUGAGGGGAGAUACCUUUCCGAUCAUGCUGGUGAUGAAACUCGCAGACACAAGUGACUAACCAAUUGAUAAGUAUUGCUCACUACUCGCAGAAAAUAUAGAUUUUUUUCUUAAAAAUCAUAGACAAAACACAGUUAAAUAAUUUAAUGGUUAUACCUUUCCUGACAUACUAUGUAACCUUGGCUUAUAUGCCUGGCUUAGAGAUGUUUUCCAAAGUUGUGGUGUAAUAAAAACAUUUAAAUAGUGAGUAUUCCGGUGGUAUUUUUGAAAUGGCAGUUACCAGCAAAUAAACGUCUGUUUGGACGUGGUAACAGGGAAACUACUCUGCAUCCGUUCACCCCUCUCAACAGUUGAUUCUCCUGCAGCACAGAAGACUUUCUUUAUUUAUGAAGCAAACGUCUUCUUCACUCCCAGGACUUCACCACUGGUAGGCCACCCUAGCCUGCCUCUAAUCAUCACUUCAUCGUCUUUCACAACCUGCAUUUUCCCUGCCCCUGAUUUCUCAUUCUGUUAUUGACCUCUUGCACAUUCCCCCUCUGGUGUGAAUUACUUUUGCCGACUAAACUCAGGCAUGGUACCAAAACUAUAAUUUGAGCUCACCCCCAUGGUCGCAACCUCAGGCUGAUCGCAUGACCUAAUCUCAGCAGAAUCCUCCCAGCUCAGGGACCGCACUCUCAGACGGCAAGGCCAGUGAUCCCUCAAAUUCAUCCCACGCAGGUGAAGACAGCUCUUCCCUCAGAAGACGCAGGUUGCAGCUAGCUUGAGGAGAGAUCAAUUCUUCCCAUGCAAAGGCACGAAUAUCCUGUGGCUAAAGUGUAUUGGAAUUUCCCUCUGAUUAAGUAUGUUUAUAAUUCCAUCUGCAAAAACCAGCAGUAAGCUGAACUGGAAAGCAUUACCUGAGAUUAUAUUUCCAUUUUGCCCCAUUAAAAAAGACUAGAAUUUAAUUUUAUCUCAGCACAGAUGCUUAAAUCGAAUGCGUACUUCCUUAGGAAUGAAGAAAUAGCAAUGUAUGUAAGGAUAAGUAAGUCAGAAUGAGAGAAAAAAACAGUUUUUAAAAAAAGUACAGGUGACUAAAGCAGCAUAGGGCUAAGUAGGUUUAAAGGAUGAAGACAUUAAUAAAGAGCUUCCUGCAGGGUUAUCAACAGAAAUACUUUUUCAUAGAAAUUAGUGGGGUUUACACACUGCAUGUUCUCAGUUAUAGGUGGGAGCUCCAAGCUAUGCAUUGAGCACACAUGGACGUACACAUGGGAACAACAGGCGCUGUGGACUGCGCGGGGCAAAGAAGGGAGGGGCAUGCAUUGAAAAACUAGCCAGGGGUACGAUACUCACUAGCUGGGUGUAAUACACCCAUGUAACACACCUGCAUGUGAACCCCCAUAUCUAAAAUAAGAGCUGAAACUUUCAAAGAGGAGCAGUUACUUUGACUGACUUUUAUUAGUAGUUGUAACUCUUUUCUUUUCCUGGAAACCUGAGUCCUAAAUUGGAAGGUAGUAGCCACAGGGUACCGUAGUUCAGACAGUUUUUGAAGAUAAGCAAUUAAAAUAGAUCAGGGAAUGGCUCCUUUUCAAACUUGUGAGCUAAGAAUCCAGAAAGCAGGUUGUUCCAAGACGAUGCUGUGAAAGAAAAAAUUGGCCUUUCACUGGGGACAGGGUUCUUUCCAACCUUAUGUCUGGCUCUUGUACUUUCUCUUUCAUCUCCUUUGUGACCCCAUGGACUCUCAAAUUGAAAUGAAUUAAAUUUAUUCACAUUAAGGCAUUAAACUACUAAUGGCUUCAUGUGUUCUGUCUUCCACUGGUGUUUGUAUUUGAUAGAAAAUAAUGCCCUAAAAAAUGAAUGGUUUAGGGAAGCUAAUGGAAGAGAUGAAGGCUGGAAGGGGCAGGUUCUCAAUCACAUGACGUUCAGCGUGCUCAGCUACAUAAUCAGCUCAGAAAGGAGCCUGAACAUUGAUUCUCAAAGUGUGGGCCAAAGUCCCCUGGGACAUCCUGAGACUUUUUCAGUGGCAACAGGAGGCCAAAAUGACUUUUAUAAUAAUACUAAGAUGUUAUUCGCCAUUUUUACCCUCAUUCUCUCACAAAUAUACAUGAAAUUUUCCAGAAGAUUCAUGAUAGGUGACUUCAUAACAGAUUAAAUGCAGAAACAGAAUAGUAGAGUUAUCUUUUAUUAAGCUACACAUUAAGGAGAUUUGCAAAAAUGUAAAACAAUUUCUCUCUUCUCAACACAUUUAUUUGGUUUUAAAAUAAAUGUGAUUAAUAUACGAUUAAAAUAAAUUACAAAAUUAAAUAUAAUUUUAGAACUAAAUAAAUUAAAAUAAAA
rnacentral:lncRNA from 1 species